rnacentral:rRNA from 1 species
CGGACGGGUGAGUAACGCGUGGGUAACCUGCCUCAUACAGGGGGAUAACAGUUAGAAAUGGCUGCUAAUACCGCAUAAGACCACAGUACUGCAUGGUACAGUGGUAAAAAUUCCGGUGGUAUGAGAUGGACCCGCGUCUGAUUAGGUAGUUGGUGAGGUAACGGCCCACCAAGCCGACGAUCAGUAGCCGACCUGAGAGGGUGACCGGCCACAUUGGGACUGAGACACGGCCCAG